AAACAUCGAUAGUACACUACACCCACUAUCCGCCCGGGUACUACGAGCACCAGCUUGAAACCCAAAGGACUUGGCGGUGCUUUAGAUCCACCUAGAGGAGCCUGUUCUAGAACCGAUAACCCCCGUUCAACCUCACCCUUCCUUGUUCUCCCCGCCUAUAUACCGCCGUCGUCAGCUUACCCUGUGAAGGACUUAUAGUAAGCAAAAUUGGUACAGCCCAAAACGUCAGGUCGAGGUGUAGCGUAUGGAGGGGGAAGAAAUGGGCUACAUUCCCUAAUACAGAGAAUACGAACGAUACAUUGAAAUAUGUGUCCGAAGGAGGAUUUAGCAGUAAGCAGGAAAUAGAGUGUUCU
rnacentral:rRNA from 1 species